GGGAUUUUGCCGUAUGCGUAUGCUUCGGUAAAUCAGCCGUAACUUUUCGGUACGAUCUCGGAUCGAGGCGAUUUCUAUACGAAAAUUGAUCUACAGAAAAAGUUACACAUGAAUUUCAAUGGCUUUGCCGUUUUUGGCGAAAUUAGAUUUCCCAAAUUAGGCUUGGAAGAUGGAGUUUCGGGCCUCCGAAGUUUGGAACGUUAGGACGCCUAACUCUCUUUUGCAGGAUGUAUGUAUGUAUCUUGUGAUCAGUAUGGCCCCCUUGUGUAUGUGAUGCAUGUGUGUAAC
rnacentral:lncRNA from 1 species